AGAGUUUGAUCCUGGCUCAGGGUUAACGCUGGCGGCGCGCCUAACACAUGCAAGUCGAGCGAGGGCUCUUCUCCCGCAAGGGAGGGGAGUUCCUAGCGGCGAACGGGUGAGUAACACGUGGGCAACCUGUCGUCUCGUGGGGGAUAACACCGGGAAACCGGUGCUAAUACCGCAUGUCAUCGCCGGUCGCAUGGCCGGUGAGAAAAGUAGCAAUGCGCGAGAUGGUGGGCCCGCGGCCUAUCAGCUAGUCGGUGGGGUAACGGCCUACCGAGGCUUUGACGGGUAGCUGGUCUGAGAGGACGACCAGCCACACGGGGACUGAGACACGGCCCCGACUCCUACGGGAGGCAGCAGUGAGGAAUCUUCCGCAAUGGGCGCAAGCCUGACGGAGCGACGCCGCGUGUGGGAUGAAGUCCUUCGGGAUGUAAACCACUGUCGGAGGGGAAGACAUCGACGGUACCCUCCAAGAAAGCCCCGGCUAACUACGUGCCAGCAGCCGCGGUAAUACGUAGGGGGCAAGCGUUACUCGGAUUCACUGGGCGUAAAGAGCGUGUAGGCGGCUGGUCAAGCGUGAUGUGAAAUCUCCGGGCUCAACCCGGAAACUGCAUCGCGAACUGACCUGGCUGGAGUGCAGGAGAGGGCGGCGGAAUUCCCGGUGUAGCGGUGAAAUGCGUAGAUAUCGGGAGGAACACCAGUGGCGAAGCGGCCGCCUGGCCUGUAACUGACGCUGAGACGCGAAAGCGUGGGGAGCGAACCGGAUUAGAUACCCGGGUAGUCC
rnacentral:rRNA from 1 species